GGCUGAUCUGAUGGUAGUGGGUUAUGAGAACUUAUUAACAUUAGUGUCACUAAAGUUGUUAUUAACCCCCCCCCCCCCGCCCCACUGCUAAAUUUGACUAGCUUUUU
ensembl:misc_RNA Y_RNA Y RNA